GUAUCUCAAACUUCUACACUUAUACCCAAGAUCCUACAUACUUUCCACGAUUCUAUCCUCGGGGGACAUUCUGGAUUUUUAAGAACUUACGAGAGGAUCAGUGGAGAACUAUAUUGGAGGGGUAUGAAGGCUGAAAUAAAGAAAUAUGUGGAACAAUGCGAGAUCUGCCAGAGAAACAAAUACGAAGCAACCAAACCAGCUGGGGUACUUCAACCAAUUCCAAUUCCUGACAGAAUCUUAGAAGAUUGGACCAUGGACUUUAUUGAGGGGUUGCCACUAGCUGGAGGGGUUAAUGUGAUCAUGGUGGUAGUUGAUCGGCUGAGUAAGUAUUCUUACUUUAUAUCAUUGAGACAUCCGUUUUCAGCCAAGCAAGUUGCUUCCAUAUUCAUCGACAGAAUAGUAAGCAAGCACGGCAUUCCUAAGUCGAUUAUCACAGAUCGGGAUAAAAUCUUUCUUAGUAAUUUUUGGAAGGAACUGUUUGCAACCAUGGGAACUAUUCUAAAGAGGAGUACCGCGUUUCACCCACAAACUGAUGGGCAGACAGAAAGGGUAAAUAGAUGUCUCGAAACUUAUCUGCGAUGCUUCUGUAAUGAACAACCAAAAAAAUGGGAUAGACUGAUUCCAUGGGCAGAAUUGUGGUAUAAUACCACCUUCCAUGCAUCCACCAAAAUGACCCCUUUCAGGCGGUAUACCGCAGACCGCCUCCUCCCCUGUUAUCCUAUGGUUACAAGAAAACUCCUAAUAAUGAGGUUGACACGCUGCUGAAGGAACGUGACUUAGCCAUCAAUGCCUUAAAAGAACACCUGUGUGUAGCCUAGAACAGGAUGAUGAAAAUGGCUGAUCGAAAUAGAAGAGAGUUAAAAUUUAAGGUAGGAGAUGAAGUCUACUUGAAAUUGAGACCUUACCGGCAACGCUCCUUGGCUCGGAAGAAGUGUGAAAAGUUAGCACCUAAAUAUUACGGACCCUACAAAAUUACUGAAGAAAUAGGAGCAGUUGCGUACAGAUUGAUGUUACCGCCGGAAGCCAGUAUCCACAAUGUGUUCCAUAUUUCUCAGUUAAAACUGAAACUGGGUAGUCAACAAGCUGUUCAACACCAGCAACCUAGGCUAACGGAAGAGUUUGAGUUACAAUUAUGGCCGGAAACAGUGUUGGGAGUCCGUUGGAAUCGGGAAUUGGGAGGAAAUGAAUGGUUAAUUAAGUGGAAAGGGCUGCCGGACAGUGAAACAACUUGGGAAUCUGUUUUCCAAAUGAACCAACAAUUCCCUGACUUGCACCUUGAGGACAAGGUGAACCUGGAACCGAGGGGUAUUGUAAGGCCCCCUAUUAUCCAUACAUACAAAAGGAGGGGUAAAAACGUAAAAGCUCACGCAGCAGAAAAGGGGAGAAUAUUAGGAAAAGAACAUGAGAGUGGGGCCCACGGGGAAGAAUGAGAAAAGAGCUAUAAAUAAGGCCUUAUCGGGAUUGGGGGCUAGGUUAACUUUUUGUCUUCAUUUGGUCUGUAGAGGCUGCUAGGUCUAGGAAGGACUACUAUCUUUUCCUGGGGAGGUUUGACAUAUUUCCAUCUUUAUUGCUUUCUUUUAUAUUUCCUUCUACUGUAUCUCUUGGCAUUUAUAUAAAAUAAAGAUCUACAGAGUGCUGUCUCUGUUUGCCAACUGUUUGGGUAAUUUAGUAUUUUAUUUGUGGAGUCUCUACAACUGGUAUCAGAGCCCAAACGCUGGGGGUGGUGACGCGGCUGAUGGCGCAAAGGCAAAUAGAAGAAAGAAUAGAUGGAACAGAGAAAGAAAUACUGAGCUUGAAGGAAAUGAUUCUGGAAACGAAGAAAAUCCAUGGAUAGACUGGCAUGAAAUGAAAGAAAACAGCAGCUACAAAAGGCGAGAUGAAUCCGGAACUUCUGAUGGAUCAGUCAUGAAGUUAAAAGGAAAAUGGGAAGAAGCCGACAAUCCAGGGAAAACAAUGUAGUAACUGUCGACCGAAGCAAAUAUAAGAAACUGGAAAUGCCGAUUUUCACCGGGGAAAAUCCUGAGUCAUGGGUGUUUAGAGCUGAGCAUUUUUUCGAAAUUAAUAGCCUACCGGAAGCAGAAAAAGUGAAAGUAGCAGUGGUUAGUUUCGGACAAGAUGAAAUCGAUUGGUACCGUUGGAGUAACCAUAGAAAGAAGGUGGAAGGAUGGGAAGAUUUGAAGGUAAGGAUGUUUGAAUUUUUUCAAGAUUCUGGGCAGAAGAGCUUAGGUGCAAGGCUGAUUCGAAUAGAACAAGAUGGAUCCUAUAAUGAUUAUGUCAAGAAAUUCGUACAAUAUUCUGCACCACUACCGCACAUGGCUGAAAGCGUGCUCUUAGAUGCAUUCGUGACAGGUCUAGAACCGGCUCUUCAAGCAGAAGUUAUUAGUAGACAUCCUCAAACCUUAGAGGAAUGUAUGAAGGAGGCACAACUGGUAAGUGGCAGAAACCUAGCCUUGAAAUUAGCCAAGGCAGAAUGGGUAAACAGUGUGACUAGGGAAGGAGGAGGCUCAAGCAAGGGACAAAGCAGUCAAGAUAAAAGUUCACCAAAGAAGACUGAGUUCCCCAUGAAGCAAGUCACUAUUCCCAUUAAAGGAAACUACCAGAAAAAUGAACCUCCAGUUAAAAGACUCUUGGACACGGAAUUCAGAGCAAGAUUGGACAAGGGUUUGUGUUUUAGAUGCAAUGAGAAGUACUCACCGCGGACACCGAUGCAAGAUGAGAGAGAAAAGGGAAUUAAUGUUAUUUAUACUUAACGAAGAAGAGAGUGGUGGGGAGGAAGUCAAAAUGGAAGAGACCGAAGAAGUAAUGGAGCUGAACCAGUUAGUUGUUGCUGAAACCACCGAAAUUGAAUUGAAGACACUCACGGGGUUAACAUCCAAAGGGACAAUGAAACUGAAGGGGCAUGUAAAAGGAAGGGAGGUGGUGAUUCUCAUCGACAGUGGAGCUACGAACAACUUCAUCCAUGAAGCAGUGGCAAUGGAAGGAGGGUUGAACAUUGAACCCGGUACACAAUUUGGAGUGACUAUUGGAGACGGACCCGCUGUAGAGGGAAAGGUAUUUGCAGAAAGGUGGAACUGAGAUUGAAAGAAAUGACAGUUAUAACUGAUUUUCUAGUGGUGGAACUAGGAAAUAUUGACGUGAUUUUAGGGAUGCAAUGGCUAGAUACCACCGGCACAAUGAAGGUACAUUGGCCAUCAUUAACCAUGACCUUUUGGGCAAAAGACAAGCAAAUCGUGUUAAGAGGAGAUCCAUCCUUAGUGAAAGCUGAAUGUUCUUUGAAGACAUUGGAAAAAACGUGGGAUAUAGAAGAUCAAGGCUUCCUCUUAGAAUUCCAGAAUUAUGAGAUGGAAGUAGAGAAUGAAUAUGAACUGGGGACAAGACUAAAAGGAGAUGAGGAGGAAAUAUCUAUGAUCCGAUCCCUGCUCAAGUAUUAUGCGGAGAUAUUUGAGACACCGAAGAAAUUACCUCCAAAAAGAGCUAUUGAUCACCGAAUAUUAACCCUACCUGACCAUAAACCUAUCAACGUAAGACCUUACAAAUACGGUCAUGUGCAGAAAGAAGAAAUAGAAAAACUGGUGGUCGAGAUGCUUCAAGCAGGGGUUAUUCGCCCUAGUCAUAGCCCUUACUCCAGCCCGGUGUUGUUAGUGAAGAAAAAAGAUGGUGGAUGGAGAUUUUGUGUCGAUUACCGCAAGUUAAAUCAGGCGACAGUAUCGGAUAAGUUCCCAAUUCCUGUGAUAGAGGAAUUAUUAGAUGAGCUGAAUGGGCAACGGUUUUCUCGAAAUUAGAUCUGAAAUCUGGUUAUCACCAGAUUAGAAUGAAAGAGGAAGAUGUGGAGAAAACUGCGUUCCGCACACAUGAAGGGCACUAUGAGUUUCUAGUAAUGCCGUUUGGUCUCACGAAUGCUCUGGCAACCUUCCAAUCUUUGAUGAACCAGGUAUUUAAACCUUUCCUUCGGCGCUGUGUUUUGGUUUCUUUGAUGAUAUACUGGUUUAUAGUGCGGAUAUAGAUGAACACGCAAAGCAUUUGGGCAUGGUAUUCAAUGUUUUGAAGGAUAACCAGCUGUUUGCUAACAAAAAAAAAUGCGUUAUAGCCCAUUCUCAAAUACAGUACUUGGGACAUAGGAUAUCCAAAAGAGGAGUUGAGGCAGAUGAGGAUAAGAUCAAGAAGAUGAUUAAUUGGCCACCACCAACGAAUAUAUCUGGUCUGCGGGGCUUCUUAGGACUGACAGGAUAUUAUAGGAGGUUUGUCAAGGGUUAUGGAGAGAUCGCUGCACCGCUAACCAAGUUAUUACAGAAGAAUGCUUUUAAGUGGAAUGAAGAAGCAAAUACUGCCUUCGAAAAUUUGAAGCUAGCAAUGACUACUCUACCAGUGUUGGCAUUACCAGAUUGGAACAUUCCCUUUAUUAUCGAAACUGAUGCAUCUGGCGUAGGGUUAGGAGCGGUGAUCUCUCAAAAUGGCCACCCGAUUGCCUUUUUCAGUCAGAAGUUAUCCACAAGGGCUCAAAACAAAUCCAUCUAUGAAAGAGAGUUGAUGGCUGUAGUUCUAUCAGUUCAAAAAUGGAGGCAUUAUUUGCUGGGCAGGAAGUUCACCAUACUUUCAGAUCAAAAGGCUCUUAAAUUCUUGCUUGAACAGAGAGAGGUACAGCCCCAAUUCCAGAAAUGGUUGACAAAGCUCCUUGGAUAUGAUUUCGAGAUUUUAUAUCAACCCGGACAUCAGAACAAGGCAGCGGACGCCCUAUCUAGAAUGGAGCAACCGGUGGAGCUGCACAGCUUGACAACUACUGGAAUCAUUGAUGUGAAACUAAUCGAGCAGGAAGUUGAGAAUGAUGCUGAACUUAAGAAAAUUAUGGAAAAUCUGAAGAAAAAUGCAGAAGAAGGAAGCAAGUUUCAAGUGGAAAAAGGAAGAUUGCUCUAUAAGGGGAGAAUGGUAGUAUCUCAAACUUCUACACUUAUACCCAAGAUCCUACAUACUUUCCACGAUUCUAUCCUCGGGGGACAUUCUGGAUUUUUAAGAACUUACAAGAGGAUCAGUGGAGAACUAUAUUGGAGGGGUAUGAAGGCUGAAAUAAAGAAAUAUGUGGAACAAUGAGAUCUGCCAGAGAAACAAAUACGAAGCAACCAAACCAGCUGGGGUACUUCAACCAAUUCCAAUUCCUGACAGAAUCUUAGAAGAUUGGACCAUGGACUUUAUUGAGGGGUUGCCACUAGCUGGAGGGGUUAAUGUGAUCAUGGUGGUAGUUGAUCGGCUGAGUAAGUAUUCUUACUUUAUAUCAUUGAGACAUCCGUUUUCAGCCAAGCAAGUUGCUUCCAUAUUCAUCGACAGAAUAGUAAGCAAGCACGGCAUUCCUAAGUCGAUUAUCACAGAUCGGGAUAAAAUCUUUCUUAGUAAUUUUUGGAAGGAACUGUUUGCAACCAUGGGAACUAUUCUAAAGAGGAGUACCGCGUUUCACCCACAAACUGAUGGGCAGACAGAAAGGGUAAAUAGAUGUCUCGAAACUUAUCUGCGAUGCUUCUGUAAUGAACAACCAAAAAAAUGGGAUAGACUGAUUCCAUGGGCAGAAUUGUGGUAUAAUACCACCUUCCAUGCAUCCACCAAAAUGACCCCUUUCAGACGGUAUACCGCAGACCGCCUCCUCCCCUGUUAUCCUAUGGUUACAAGAAAACUCCUAAUAAUGAGGUUGACACGCUGCUGAAGGAACGUGACUUAGCCAUCAAUGCCUUAAAAGAACACCUGUGUGUAGCCUAGAACAGGAUGAAGAAAAUGGCUGAUCGAAAUAGAAGAGAGUUAAAAUUUAAGGUAGGAGAUGAAGUCUACUUGAAAUUGAGACCUUACCGGCAACGCUCCUUGGCUCGGAAGAAGUGUGAAAAGUUAGCACCUAAAUAUUACGGACCCUACAAAAUUACUGAAGAAAUAGGAGCAGUUGCGUACAGAUUGAUGUUACCGCCGGAAGCCAGUAUCCACAAUGUGUUCCAUAUUUCUCAGUUAAAACUGAAACUGGGUAGUCAACAAGCUGUUCAACACCAGCAACCUAGGCUAACGGAAGAGUUUGAGUUACAAUUAUGGCCGGAAACAGUGUUGGGAGUCCGUUGGAAUCGGGAAUUGGGAGGAAAUGAAUGGUUAAUUAAGUGGAAAGGGCUGCCGGACAGUGAAACAACUUGGGAAUCUGUUUUCCAAAUGAACCAACAAUUCCCUGACUUUCACCUUGAGGACAAGGUGAACCUGGAACCGAGGGGUAUUGUAAGGCCCCCUAUUAUCCAUACAUACAAAAGGAGGGGUAAAAACGUAAAAGCUCACGCAGCAGAAAAGGGGAGAAUAUUAGGAAAAGAACAUGAGAGUGGGGCCCACGGGGAAGAAUGAGAAAAGAGCUAUAAAUAAGGCCUUAUCGGGAUUGGGGGCUAGGUUAACUUUUUGUCUUCAUUUGGUCUGUAGAGGCUGCUAGGUCUAGGAAGGACUACUAUCUUUUCCUGGGGAGGUUUGACAUGAUAUUAUCAUCUUUAUUGCUUUCUUUAUAUUUCCUUCUACUGUAUCUUUGGCAUUUAUAUAUAAAUAAAGAUCUACAGAGUGUUGUCUCUGUUUGCC
rnacentral:lncRNA from 1 species